rnacentral:rRNA from 1 species
AGCAGCCGCGGUAAUUCCAGCUCCAAUAGCGUAUAUUAAAGUUGUUGCAGUUAAAAAGCUCGUAGUUGAAUUUCGGGAUUGACGUGACGGUCGUGCCUUAAGGGGCGUGAACUGUCGCCGUUGAUUUCUCACCUUCUGGAGAAGCUUGAUGUCCUUAAUUGGAUGUCUUGUGGAACCAGGACCUUUACCUUGAAAAAUUAGAGUGUUUAAAGCAGGCAUUUUGCUCGAAUACAUUAGCAUGGAAUAAUAGAAUAGGACGGCAUGGUUCUAUUUUGUUGGUUUCUAGGAUCACCGUAAUGAUUAAUAGGGAUAGUUGGGGGCAUUAGUAUUCAAUUGUCAGAGGUGAAAUUCUUGGAUUUAUUGAAGACUAACUACUGCGAAAGCAUUUGCCAAGGAUGUUUUCAUUAAUCAAGAACGAAAGUUAGGGGAUCGAAGACGAUCAGAUACCGU